rnacentral:rRNA from 1 species
CCUAGUUAAUUCUGCUAGUAGUUAUAUACUUGUCUUAAAGAUUAAGCUAUACAUGUCUAAGUAUAAGCAAUUAUACCGUGAAACUGCAAAUAGCUUAUUAAAUCAGUUAUCGUUUAUUUAAUAGUACCUUACUACUUAGAUAACUGUAGUAAUUCUAGAGCUAAUACAUGCUAAAAACCCUAACUUUAGAAGGGGUGUAUUUAUUAGAUAAAAAACUAACGCCCUUUAGGGCUUCUUAGUGAUUUAUAAUAACUUUACGGAUCGCAUGGCCUUGCGCUAGCGACGGUUUAUUCAAAUUUCUGCCCUAUUAACUUUUGAUAGUAAGGUAUUAGCUUACCAUAGUUUUAACGGGUAACGGGGAAUUAGGGUUUAAUUCUAGAGAGGGAGCCUAAGAAAUAGCUACUAUAUCUAAGGAAGGCAGCAGGCGCGCAAAUUACCUAAUCCUAACACGGGGAGGUAGUGACAAUAAAUACUAAUAUAGGGCUCUUUUAGGUCUUGUAAUUAGAAUGAGUACAAUUUAAACCUCUUAACGAGGAACAAUUGGAGGGCAAGUCUGGUGCCAGCAGCCGCGGUAAUUCCAGCUCCAAUAGCGUAUAUUAAAGUUGUUGCAGUUAAAAAGCUCGUAGUUGAAACUUGGGUCUGGCUGGCAGGUCCGCCUCACCGCGUGUACUUAUCUAGCCGGGCCUUCCUUCUAGAGAACCUUAUGCCCUUUACUAGGCGUGUUAGGGACUAGGACUUUUACUUUAAAAAAAUUAGAGUGUUUAAAGUAGGCCUUUGCUUAAAUACGUUAGUAUAGAAUAAUAGAAUAGGACGUGCGGUCCUAUUUUGUUGGUUUCUAGGACCGCUGUAAUAAUUAAUAGGGAUAGUUAGGGGUAUUAGUAUUUAAUUGUUAGAGGUGAAAUUCUUAGAUUUAUUAAAGACUAACUACUGCGAAAGCAUUUGCUAAGGAUGUUUUUAUUAAUUAGUGAACGAAAGUUAGGGGAUUAAAGACGAUUAGAUACCGUCGUAGUCUUAACCGUAAACUAUGCCGACUAGGGAUCGGGCGAUGUUCUUUUUCUGACUCGCUCGGCACCUUACGAGAAAUUAAAGUUUUUAGGUUCUAGGGGGAGUAUGGUCGCAAGGCUAAAACUUAAAGAAAUUAACAGAAGGGCACUACUAGGCGUGGAGCCUGCGGCUUAAUUUAACUUAAUAUAGGGAAACUUACUAGGUCUAGAUGAAAUAAGGAUUAAUAGAUUAAGAGCUCUUUCUUAAUUUUUUAGGUAGUGGUGCAUGGCCGUUCUUAGUUGGUGGAGUGAUUUGUCUGCUUAAUUGCGAUAACGAACGAGACCUUAACCUACUAAAUAGCUAGGCUAGCUUUAGCUAGUCGCCGGCUUCUUAG